CCUGUCUGCACAGCCGAAGGAGAGGCAGGCCGACACGGAAGACAAAAGGGCGAGAGACACCGAGAGACAGUGGGGGAGAGAGGGGAGGCAGAGUGUGAAGUUCAACUUUAGAGUGUGACACUGAGGAGCGUCAAGAAAGUGAGACUGAGAGAAGGAGUAAAAAGUGUUGUCAGUCUUCCCCAGAGAAGACUUUCUGCAACCUGUUGAUCAGGACAGAGGAGCCCAGUAGAGUCCGCCUGCUGUUCUAAUGUACUGUGAUGUUGGAAUAUUGCCUGUUGUGAGCUCUGCCACUGUGGACCGGCUCCAUUACAAAGGUCAGAUGUAAAUAGUUCCUUUAAACAGGAUGGCUUCGUUUCUGCCUGUCUUUCUGCCUGCCUGUUGAUCCAGAGAUUAUAUCACCGCCCGUCUGAGUGAUUUACUGCGUAAUUACUUGGCCUCUACCUGUUUGACUGCUUUCUUUUGCAACCGUCUGCUUCCAGUGUGUAUGUCAUCUGUCUGUCUACACGUCCGUCAGUCUGUGGGGUGUCGCUGGCAGCUCAGAGUGCAAACACAGGUCAUAAAAAGCCGUAGAAAAGCAGCCGAGAGGCGUAAUGGUAGUGCUGAACGAGGCCGGAGCCGCUCAAACAUUCCUCUCAUUGUUCAGAGGCCCUGUAAGUCUGCGAGCUCCCAAACCUCCAUGAAAGGAAGGGAAUCCAGCGGCUACUGUAGCUAACCCAGUUAGAGCUACAGAUCAGGGCCGGCUGUCUCUGCCUUCCUGCUCAACACCAAUCUGGGCAGCUGAAGGCAGAAAACUGGAGGUGGAGGAGGUUCGGCUCAGAGAAGGGGCAAGACAAGUUAAUUUAACCCAACAGGAUCCGACUGAUAACCUUUAAACCAAAGGACAUGGGAAAGAGAAGGCGGAGGUCAGAGGUGUUGUUAUUUUGCCUUCUACAGUGACUGGGGAUGGAUGGAUGGAUGGAUGGAUGGAUGGAGGAGAGAAGGUGGGGAUCCAGAGCUCUUGGCUUUGGUGGCUGGUUGAGUGGGUGGGUGUGCCCAGCAGAAGUCUGCAGGAUUGGGCCUGGGCUCAGGAAACCGUGGCGUAGUGGAAUAAAAGUGUGUGCGUACGGUUUCGGCAUCCAUUUGUGCAUGUGUGGUUCGGUGGCAGCGGGGCAGCUGUACACUAAGUACAGGGCUGGUGGUGGUGAGGGUGUUUGGCAGUGAAUCAGGCUGAGGAUAGAGUUACACGCAUCGGGCUACAGGGAGUGGACCAUGGGCUUGGGCUGGGCUCCGCUCUGCUGAGGCUAGCUUUACAGCCCAGAGAGACUUUGAGCUUUUCUCUUUUUUCUGAAUCCGCUCUGGAAAUACUUUUUAUUCUCAGACUAAUGUCCCACAUGUGGCGCGUUCCAUUGAUUCCAGGCCAGCCAAUGAACGGCCGCCUUUAAUUCAGGAAAACUGCAACAGAAGAAGGCCCAUAGUAGAGCCCGAGUUCUCAUUUGAAUGUCACUGAAUGUCACGGCCUUGGCAGUAAUUACGCCCUCACACACAACACGAAACAAACGCAUUCUUGCUCACACACACACACACACACACACACACACACACACACUCUGUUGUGUGGCAACUUGGUCAAGGUGUGGAACUGCAGAAGGUGUGUAGGAUCAGAUGGUGUUUUGCAAUUUCACUGCAGGUUUAGAACAGAUCUCAGAAGCAUUUUUCCAAGAGGUUUGUUAUUUUAGCCUUUACGGUCAGAUUGAUGAUUGGGAAUCCUGUUUUGACUGUUUAAAUUGUUGAGUAAAUCCACAUUUUCUGCUGUGUCAGGUGUGAUUGCGGCGGGCGCCCGUCUCCCAGUGUUUUCGGACUCAGGUGUUCGUGUACUUUUCCACGUUUUAUUCCACUGUGAGCCCACACAGAGAGGCGUAAUGGAUACGACAGCAAUUACGAAAAGCAAACCCGGCAUAUUUACACUUUCAGUAGAGAAUUCAGACGUAUUUGUGGCCCUUCAACUCCAGUGUUGACACAGCGUCUUGAAUUAUUAGACUUUAAACACACUGAUUUCUCACGGGCUGGAAAAAAACUGCACCUUCUGUAAAAUUCUGUGAUGCAGUGGAAAGAUACCAAAAUAACUCCACUUCAAUACAUAGUACACCACCAUUGAAAAGGUUGGGGUCAUCCAGACAAUUCCAUGUUUUCCAUUAAAACUUCCACUUUUAUCCAUGUGCUAACAUAACUGCACAAGGGUUUUCUAAUCAUCAGUGAGCCUUUCAACUGUCGAGACUGUACUUCUGAUCCAUUUAGUGUUAUCUUUAUUGAAAAAAACUGCUUUUCUUUAAAAAAAUACGGACAUUUCUAAGUGAACCCAAACUUUUGAACGAUAGUGGACAUGAAUUAAAGUUGCUCUACAUUAGUUUAAGCUGUUCAAAAAUUAGUUAAAGUUGCUUUCCAACAGUUAAAGUUGCUCUAUAUUAUUUAAAAUUGCUCUAAAUGAGUUAAAGUUGACCUACACUAGAACAAUGUCUAGACUGUAUUUAUGAUUCAUUUAAUGUUAUCUUCAUUGAAAAAAACUGCUUUUCUUUCAAAAAUAAGGACAUUUCUGAGUGACCCUAAACUUGUGAAUGGUAGUGUAGAUAAAUUAUAAUUGCUCUAUACUAGCUAAACUUGCUCUAUAUGAAUUAAAGUUGCUCUACUUUAGUUAAAGUUGCUCUGCAUUAGUUACUUUUGAACGGUAGUGUAGUUCUUAAUGAAGUGCACAAUGGCAGCCGGCGGAGCGUCCAGUGAGGCGGUUCACAGCCCAGAGGUGUGAAUGAUGUCACUUUGGUAUGUAUUUGUACUAUUCCUGUUUUAUGAGACGGUGAAAAACCCAGCUAACGUUCAUGCCAUGUUCACCCAGCAGCCCACUGGCAUAACUGUUUAUUGAUAGUGAGCAUAUUGUGUGUGGAGAAGGUGGAUCAUGUGUGCACUGCUGUGUGUGUGUGUGUGUGUGUGUGUGUGUGUGUGUGUGUGUGUGUGUGUGUGUGUGUGUGUGUGUGUGUGUGUGUGUGUGUGUGUGUGUGUGUGUGUGUGAGCACACAAGGGCAUAGGGAGAGAGAAGAUAUGUGUUGAAACAACAAGGGCUUGAGAUCCAGCUGUCUCAACAGAGGCUUUUCCACUUAACUGUGUGCCCUUGUAUAAACGGCAAUGUCAAUUCUGAACUCCAGCUGAAGGGGAGAGAAAGCAGCCAGUGGCCACGUCCACACAUGGACCUCCAUGUGCAUGAACGUAUACACAGCAGAACACACACAUAGUGUACACUGUACACCAUUUAACAACCCGCACACAAGGCCGGGGCUCAUGAAGACGCUCCCUGAAAACAUUCUGAGUACAUCUGCUGGCGAUCGGCGCUCGGUGAUACUAAUUUUCCGACUCUACGCCUCGUCAGGAUGCAACAUGUUGGCACAGUCGUGAGCAACCAAUAAGCCUGCAUGCCAGAACCGUAUGAUUAUUUCUAACCAUAAUAAACAUCCAAUUUGAGGAGAGCGUAACAACAGGAUCGCCUGUCUCCUCAGUCAAAGUAAAAACAGGCCAAAUGCAACAGAAAAAAAAGCAGGGAGAUGUGUUGAGAUCCUCACAGCGGCGAGUGUUUGAGGUGAGGUAUUGGACGGCCUGUGUCAACCAGAAUGCCGUCAUUACAGGGGAAGGGAAGGAAUGAGCUCAUAGACAUUAACGGCUGUGGGUUCGACUGGGGGAACGCGAAGGGGAAGAGAGAAACCGAUGGAAAAGAUGAAAAGGCAGAGAAAAUAACACACAAGAUGAGCCAGUGCCAGAUGAAAGGGUGGCGGGAUCGAGGGUUUUAGGUUGAUGGGGGAGAGGAGCUAAAGGGGAGUUAGCGUGAUGUCUUUGAUGGCUGCUGCAGACCUUAAAUGACCUUUUUUUUUUUUUUUGCUUCUUGAAGCAUCUUGUUGUGACUGUGUAGAGACAGAGUGACAAGCGGAAUUCAAGAAGAUUACAGCUAAAAUCCAGGAAAAAAAUACCACCGUUCAAAUGUUUAGGGUCACUCAGAAAUGUCCUUAUUGUUGAAAGAAAAGCAGUUUUUUCAAUGAAGAUAACAUAAAAUGAAUGAUAAAUCCAGUGUAGACAUUGUUAAUGUGGUAAAUGACUAUUGUAGCUGGAAACAGCUGAUUUUUAAUGGAAUAUCUCCAUAGGGGUACAGAGGAACAUUUCCAGCAACCAUCACUCCUGUGUUCUAAUGCUACAUUGUGUUAGCUAAUGGUGUUGAAAGGCUCAUUGAUGAUUAGAAAACCCUUGUGCAGUUAUGUUAGCACAUGGAUAAAAGUGAGAGUUUUCAUGGAAAACAUGAAAUUGUCCCGGUGAUCCCAGACUUUUGAACAGUGGUGUACGUGCAAACUUUAUGUAGAUAUUUUUAAAUUACACAAAUCUAGCCGAGGCUUCAGAAAUGCUUUUGAUCUGUAGCAGAAUGUAACAAAAAAAAGAAAAAAAGGACCAUGUUUUCCUCCCAGUAGCGCUAAAAUCACGUGUUCUGAGGCGGUUCUAAUUCGGUGUCAUCAGUUGAUUGGACCACAGAUGGAGAGAGAGAACAUUGGCCUGGAGAAAACUGCACGUUUUUUACAUUUUCUGUGUUUUUCACAGCUGAGUUUUUAGAGGUUUUUGUGCUUUUUUUCGGAAGCUCUUUCCAAACUGCAGUGGUUUGUGACAACAAUGAUGCAGCGUUGGCGAUAGCGCCUGAGUUCACCUUGUCCCUGGCACUGAUCUCCAGCAGGCCCACGGUGACAACAGGCAGCCGGAGAACACUUAUUUAGAGUCUGGAGUUCCCCAAAAGCGUCCCACUGACUCAUACCUUGUACACGGCGGAAUAUUCAUGCAGCUAAAUAUAAAAACAACUCAAGGAGAGGACGUCAAAGUAGCCUUCCGAAGCUCAUUCAGUUAUCUAAAUGUGUCCCAUCCAGACAAGUGAAGUCCAACAAGGAGGAAUUUGGACGUAUAUGUUGGAUUUUACAGUAUGUUUACACAACAUGAGAACUCUUCACAGUUUCUUGAGAGACUUAGAAGCGAGAGGAAACACAGCCUAGUGCUCUCAGGUCUUUUUUUUUUUUUUUUUAAAGCCUUCUUAUAUAAAGUGCAUUUUUAGGCAUCUUUUUUAAUCAGGGAGGACGUUCUUUAAUGCAUAAGACCCCAAAAUAUGAAAAUUUCUCAAUAUAAAAUGCAUUUGUAGGCAUCUUUUUUAUUCACCGGGGACCUUUUUUCAUGCACAAGACCCUAAAACAUGAAAUAUUCUUAUAUAAAGGGCAUUUUUAGGCACCUUUUUUUAACCACUGAGGACGUUCUUUAAUACAUAUAACCUCAAAAUAUGAAACUUUCCUAAUAUAAAUUGCAUUUGUAAGCAUCUGUUUUAUCAGUUAGAACCUCCUUUAAUACAUGAGACCCCAACAUAUGAAAUUUAUUCAAUAUAAAAUGCUUUUGUAGGAACCUUUUUCAAUCAGUGAGGACGUUUUUUAAUGCAUAAGACCAUAAAACAUGAAACAUUCUUAUGUAAGUUUGAUAUUUAGUCAGGUUUUUUUAACCACUGAGGACCUUCUUUGAUGCAUAAGACCUCAAAAUAAAAAAAAUUCAAUAUAAAGUGUAUUUGUAGGCACCUUUUUAAUGCACAAGACCCUAAAACACAAAACAUUCUUAUAUGAAGUACAUUUUUAGACAACUUUAUAAACCACAGGACGUUUUUUCAUACAUGAGAUGCCAAAAAAUGUAAUUUUCUCGAUAUAAAUAGUGUUUGUAAGCACCUUUUUUAAUCAGUUAGGAUGCUCUUUAGUGCAUAAGACCCUAAAACACGAAGCAUUCUCAUAUAAAGUGCAUUUGUAAGCAUCUGUUUUUAUGAGGGAAGACCUUCUUUAGUACCUGAAACUCCAAAAUAUGGAACUUUCUCAAUCUAAAUUGCAUUUGUAAGCUUGUGGCAGUAAGAAAUACAGUAUGUUUACACAACAUGAGAACUCCUCACAGUUUCUUUGGAGAUUUAGCAGCGAGAGGAAACACAGCCCGGUGCUCUCAGGUCUUUUUUUAAUUUAUUUUUUUUCCACACAAGGGGCACAGAUAAAGAGGCAGAACAGAGCAGGUCAAACGUCUUUAAAGGGAGUGCCACUCGACUGGCCACUUCCUCCUAACCCAAUUCUCCAUUCUGUCAUUGAAAAGCUAUUUUUAUAAGAGGCCACGGGAAGUCUGGGAGCUGACAAGAGGCGAGCGUGUUCAGCACAAACAAGCAAACGGUACAGAUGUGAGGACGGCGUGAGGUGGAGGUCCGAGUGUCAGCCGGGUCUCUGAAGCUUCUCUGUCGGCCAGGGGAAUUCCUGGCAGAGUGAUUUUUGAGACUACAGGACUGAAUCACAUUGCCAGGGAUUUCCAAUGGCUGACACGAAAGAAAGCGGCAUUAUUUCUCACCAGUCUGCUCACUCAGACGUCUCAUUUGCGUAUCCACACACAAACUGUCUCCACCAGAUGCUCGCUCUGAACCCGGCUGUGCGGCAGCAGGACUUAACCCACAUGUGAACAGUGAGUGUGUUCCAUGUUCACAGUGGUUAAGUUCUGCCGCCACAGGGCUGCAGCCUGCGGGGGGGCAGUAAAGGUCAGGGAGGGGCCGCACUGCGUCAAAACCACCUCCCCAACAUCAUCACCAGACUUCAGAUGACCACGACAAGCUGCACCACUGCUUCCUGUGUACGAGUCACAUCCUCAAAAACCCCCAAAAUAUGAAACACGCACGAAAUAAAAUGCAUUUGUAAGUUCAUGGCCUCAUUCAAUACAUGAGAGCCCAAAAUAUGAAACUUUCUCACCAUAAAAUGCUUCUAUAAGUACCUUUUUAAAUGCAUAAGACCCUAAAACAGGAAACAUCCUUAUAUGCGAUGCAUUUAUAAGCAUUUAUUUUUAUGAGUGAUGCACGAGACACCAAAAUAUGAAACUUUCUCAAUAUAAAUUGCAUUUGUAAGUGUGUCGCCUCUUUUAAUACACAAGUCCCCAGAAUAUGAAACUUUUUCAGCAUAAAGUGUAUUUGUAGGCACCUUUUUUAAUCAGUUAGGAUGUUCUUAUUACGAGACCCCAAAAUAUGAAACCUAGUAAUAUAAAGUGCUUUUUAAAGCACCCGUUUUAUAAGUGAGGACCUUCUUUAAUACAUGAGAGCCCACAAUAUGAAGCAUUAUCAAUAUAAAUUGCAUCUGUAGAUACCUUUUUUAAUCACUGAGGACCUUUUUUCAUGCACAAGACUGUAAAAUAUAAAGCAUUCCUGUAUAAACUGCAUUUUUAGGCACCUUUUUUAACCACUGCGGACAUCCUUUAAUUCAUAAUACCCCAAAAUAUGAAACCUACUCAAUAUAAAGGUCUUUUUAAAGCACUUGUUUUAAUCAGUGAGAACCUUGUUUAAUGCAUAAGAACCCAAAAUACGAAACUUUCCCAAUAUAAAAUGCAUUUGCAGGCACCUUUUUUAAUCAGUUAGAACCUUCUUUAAUGUGUAUGACCCCAAAAUAUGAAACCUACUCAAUAUAAAGUGCUUUUUAAAGUGCCUGUUUUCUAAAUACGGACCUUCUUAAUACAUGAAACCCCCCCAAAUUGAAACUUUCUCAAUAUAAAUUGCAUUUUUAGGCACAUUUUUUAACCACUGAGUAUGUUUUUUAGUACGCGACUCCAAAAUUUUUACUUUCUCGAUAUAAAAUGCAUUUUUAAGCACCUUUUUCAAUCACUGAGAACCUUCUGUAAAGCAUAAGACCCUAAAACACAAAUAUUCUUAAUAUAAAUUGCUUUUGUAGGCACCUGUUUUAUUCACAGAGGACCUUCUUUAAUGCAUAACACCCUAAAAUAUGAAAGGUUCUUAUAUAAACUGCAUUUUUGACAUUUUUUUUAAUCACCAAGGACCCUCUUUAAUACGAGACCCCCCAAAAUAUGAAACUUUCUUAAUGUUAAUUGCAUUUGUAGGCACCUUUUUUAACCACUGACAAUGUUCUUUAAUGCUUGAGAUCCCAAAUUUGAAGCUUUCUCAAUAUAAAGUGCAUUUGUAAGCAUCUAUUUUUAUCAGUGAGGACCUUCUUUAAUAAAUGAGGCAAGCAGAAAUGCAGAUUUUAUAGAUGAUCCUUCUUUCUGAGUGGAAAAUUAGUGCCAUCAUUUAUUUCUUUUUUUUGAUUCACAUAACUGUAGCAGAUGGAAAUUUGGCAAUUUUGUGCUGAACUUGAACGGAAACCCAGCUGACGUGAAAACUGCGUGUCAGAAAGUGCUCUAAUGUCGGUAAUUUGUGACCGGAAUAGAAUAGAAACACUUUAUGUGAUGCCCGGGGGAAAAUUCUGCUGUUAGAGUAGCAAGAAGAAAGAGUGAAAUAUAUAAAAAAUAUAAAAGAAAGUGUCAGAUACAAAUAUUACAUCAGGCUGUUCCGGACUUGGUUUUUAUGGACCGACUGAGCUUGACCUCUCACCUGAUCACCUGAAAGCAUGUGAGGUUUUUUUUUAUGGGAUGCAGGUAUAUCAUAGCUGCUAAUCUGCUGAAUUAGCUUUAGUGCGGUAAAUGUCAGCUGUCUCAUUAGUGCUGGAGGCUGCUGCUGCUCCUGUAGGGCGACCGAUGGGUCGUCUUCAAGGAAAGAAAUAUUUUGUUUGCACCUCCAGCUGUUGGUUUUCUGCAUGAAGCAUGGCAGUGUGUUUGUGUUUGUGUGUCUGCUGUAUGUCUGUCCAUAUGUCUGUGUGUCUGUGUGUUUGUGUCUGCUAUGUCUGUGUGUGUGUCUGUGUGUUUGUCUGUGUGUUUGUGUGUCUGUGUGUUUGUGUAGUGGCCUCUGUCCUCAGCCCCUGCUGGGUCGGUCUCCUGUGCCUGCUGUGCUGAUAAUCAGUGUGUGACGUCGGCUGGCUCAGUUCAGCAGGAACAGGGGACUGCUCUCAUUUCCACACAAACACACACUUUCACAUAAUGACAGUAUUAUUAAGAUGCUUUUUUCCUGCACUUUAAAUCUACAUCGUUCACAAACCAAGCAAUGAAUAAAUGUAAAAAACAUGAACAUCUUGUUGCAAUAAAUUCAGUGUUUUUGUGUUGUUGCCGAGCUGCUGCAGCUUCAUGUAUAAAUUCAGCAUCUUCUGUUAAAUGUGGUUCAAUGAAUUAAAAAUUGCAUUGCUCUCAGAAAAAUCAGCAUCUGUGUCCUGUGUUGUGUCCCAUCAUUGCUUCACCUCUAGAAAAGAAAAGCACUCAGAGAGCACAGUCCUCCUCCAAGGCUGCUCAUUCCAACAUAUGGCAUUGUCAGAAAUGCAUCAUAUUUUUUUAAAUGCAUCAUUUUUUUAUUAGUUAUUGAUGAUCAGAAAUCACGGCACUGUAGAACGUGUCCAUUUAAUAUAGAUGUACCCACAAACUAAAUGACCUUGUGCUGAGCACAGGCGUGUGUUAUGCAUGUGCACGUUAUGUACGGAUACUGAAUCACAUGACCUAAAUAUGUAGCGGGUGGCGGGAAUUGAUGGGACUCAGAAACACCCCCACAAUUUAAUCAAUUGUUCCUUGUAUCAUUUCCGACAGAUAAGUCCUGAUAAGUCCUCAGUGGUGGAUUUGUAGUAGGAUCACAAUCAUGUGAUCAUCAGCAGGCAGCUGACGUAGUGUUCACUUGUUGUCAUGGUUACAGUGAUGCUGUGCUGCUAUCUCGGAAUGAUCCAGAAAUCUUUAACAAAUCUGUGGAUCCAGACUAUAAGCUGCAUCACUGCCAAAAUCUAAUCACUUGGUCCUUGUGUCAUUUCUGACCUUCCCUGAAAAUUUCAUCCAUAUUCAGACAGACAAACCAACACCGAUCAUCACAUAACUCUGCUGUGUUCCUUGGCGGAGUAAAAACACAGUCAUUUAUACUGUAAAAUUCCUGCAGCUGUGGUCACCAGAACACUAUCGUAAAAUUACGGAAAAGAAAUGUAUUGAUACUGUUGAUUUUACAGUGAAAAAAAAGUUUUAAUCUUUAAAAAAAUAUUUAAUUUUACUUGAAAAUGUACACGUAAAUACCAUACAAAAUUAAGUUUGUGUGACCUAUUAUAUAAUAUAUGACAUAUUACAUAUAUAUUAUAUUAUAUUAUAAUAUUACAGCAUUUUUUCAUUAUCAGCACAGCAGAAGUGAAUUUAACAUUUAAUCUACAACACCAUUCAAAAGGUUGGGGUCAAAACUCCCACUUUUAUCCAUGUGCUAACAUAACUGCACAAGGGUUUUCUAAUCAUCAAUGAGCCUUUCAACACCAUUAGCUAACACAAUGUAGCAUUAGAACACAGGAGUGAUGGUUGCUGGAAAUGUUCCUCUGUACCUCUAUGGAGAUAUUCCAUUAAAAAUCAGCUGUUUCCAGCUAGAAUAGUCAUUUACCACAUUAACAAUGUCUACACUGGAUUUAUCAUUCAUUUAAUGUUAUCUUCAUUUAAAAAAACUGCUUUUCUUUCAAAAGUAAGUAUAUUUCUAAGUGACCCUAACAUUUGAAUGCGUGUACGUGUUUUCAGGAUGUCAUAAAUGCAAAAAUUGUGGUUAUAGCUGUCUCUGUUUUUGAGUAAUGAUGCUAACAGACAAACAGACGGACAAACCAACGCCUAUCGUCACAUAACUCUGCAAAAGAACUCAUUAUCGUGUCAUAAAUCUCACAAAUGCAGUGUUCACCCUUUACCUCUUUGUUCCCUCCAUCACCUUGUUUGUCUGCUGAUCUGUUGAGGUUAGAAACAGGAAAUAAAAGACGCCACAGACGGGUGAGAAAAAAGCUGCAGGUUGAAAAUUACAAAAGGAGAUUUCUUCACUUUCAUUUUUACCUAAGUUAAAGUCUGCAGGUGGGAAACUGAGUUGUUGGGUCAUUUAGGAAGUUCUGCAGCUUAAAUCAGAUUUCUGUACAGUUACACAACGUUAACCUUUUACUUCCUAUGUGAGAAGACAUUUCCACACAUUUACGUGGCUGAAAGUCUUUGAGCCGUUCUGUAGACUACAAAGAAGAACGUCAAGAAAACCGACAGACGUAACGAGCUUUCGGUUUCAUGGUGGUGCUAAUAAAAAAAAAAGAAUGAAAACACAGCGUUGUGGUGCUAGCUGGCAGGAAAAGAGGAUUCAAAGCCAAACUCGCAAUAAAAUAUGUCAAGCAGGAGACAAAAGAAGAUAAUAUAUAUGUACUAUAGAUCAGACAGGUUUAAAUUUGCCUCAUUUUGAAUGCAUGUUUAUUUUUCACAGACUUAUUUAACCCUGUAAGAAAUAAAAUCAGAGUUACAAGUGAAAAGCUUUUUCUAAGGAGAAAAAUAUGUCCUAAAAAAUCUAAACAUAAAAAUCUGUCCUAAAAAAAUAAAUAGAAGUAGAAAAAUCUGUCCUAAAAACAUAAACAUACAUAGAAAAAUAUUUCCAAAAAAUACAAAUAUAAGCAGGAAAAUGUCCAAAAAAUAAUUAACAUAAAAAUAUGAGCUAAAAACAUAAAUAUAAAUAAAAAAUGUCCUAAAAAUAUGAACACAAAUAGAAAAAUGUUGUCAUUUUUUGAACCACAUUGUCACCAAAUUCACCUCUUCUCUAUAAAAUCUGAUAGUUUUACUGCCAUGAAGACAUUCUGCACAUAAUAAACUAUCAUUUAAUCUAAAGAGAAGCUAUAAAAUGCGACUUUCUGUGCAUCAAAGUGUGUUUACCAGACAAAGUCCAGGUUGUAUUUGGUGAAUUUUAACUGGUCCAUGUUUGUUUUUGUUUUCAACUAUCUUUAAUCCACAUAUUUUAUUCUAAAAUUCAUUAAAAUACUGAGUUGCCAAGAAAGUAAAAGUUCAUGAAACCUGCAAGUACAGGCGAAAAAUAUCAGAAAUAAAACUAUAACACAGCCUGUUUACAUGUAAAGUCAAUUUUCCAAGUUUGUUUUUGUGCAUUUUUUAACUGAAGUUGACUUUUAGUUGUUUUGGGUUUUUUUUUUUCAGUUUUCUGAGAAAUCUGAGGUUUUUGUAUUAAUUUUAACUUUAAAAUGAUCUGUAACCAUUUUGAGAUUGGAACGUGUGGAAAUGUGGCUAAAUGUGACAGGAAAUAAAUAAUUCAAACCGAUGAUAAACUGCACAUUAAUGCAUGAACGAUGAUAAUCUAAAGUCAUCAUUUAUUUCAGAGAAGCAGAACGAUGAUCACUGACGAGGAUCUAAAGCUAAACAACCGCAUGAAAGCUGGAACUAAUUCUUCAUUUUGGGGUCGAAAGAAACAUAACCGCUGCUAUCUGUCUUAUUUUAUAAAUUAUGUUUGUGUUUUUCUGUCAAUAAAGUGUGCACUUUA